GUCCCCGUCCCUGUCCCCGACCCCGUUCCUGUCCCCGUCCCCGUCCCCAGGGUGCCCCCCGUCCCCAGCGCCCCAUCCCCUCGUGUUUCAGGGAGCGCAUGACGGCGUCCGAGUGCCUCGUCCACCCCUGGAUCAAGGUGAGAGGGAGCUGGGGGGGGAGCAGGGCUGGGGCUGGGUCCCCCCCGGGUCCCCCCCCCAUCCCCGGGCACCGUGUACCAGGGGAGGGGGCGUGGGGACGAUGCCCGGCUUCGCCCCCCGCAGCCCCUGAGCAGGAAGCAGGCGGCGAAGCGGAGCCGCUCCUCCAUCAACAUGAAAAACUUCCGCAAGUUCAACGCCCGGAGGAAGUGGAAGCUCUCCUACAACAUGGUGUCCGCCUGCAACCGGCUGUGCCGCAUGCGGCUGCUCUGCGGCCCGCGCACGGAGGAUGAGGAGCUGCGCGGCUGCGAGAGCGAGCAGGAGGACGAGGGCAGCCACCCCGCCACGCUGCUGCGCCGGCGGAGAAGCAGCUGCUCCUGAGCCCCCCCCUUGGGGGGGGGGCCCCAAAAAGGGGCCUCUCCGGAAGGGGGGCUUCGGAGGGGGGGCCCCCCCAUUGGGGUGGGACCCCCCCAUUCCGGUGGCUUCGAGCACCUGGGAGCUGGGGCUGCUGCCCGGCCCCAGUGCUCCCAGUCCCGCGGUGCUGGAGGGGCGCUGGGGCAGUGCCCCCGGACCGGGCUCUGCUGCUGGACCCCCCCCCCCGCGGCGCCCCCCCCCCCGUCCCCCGAGCUGGCCCCCCGAAAUAAACGUCCCCCCCAUCCUCGUGUCCUGCAUCCACGCCGGCUUCCUCCUGCUCCUCCUCCUCCUCCUCCCCGCAGCCGGCACCUUGGGGACCCCCACGGGGCGCAGACCCCAUGCCCAAAGGAGCCCCAUGGGGAAACUGAGGCACGGCGCAUU
rnacentral:lncRNA from 1 species